UUUCACUCUAGCGAGACUGCCGGUAAUAAACCGGAGGAAGGUGGGGAUGACGUCAAAUCAUCAUGCCCCUUAUGACCUGGGCUACACACGUGCUACAAUGGCUGGUACAACGAGUCGCGAGUCGGUGACGGCAAGCUAAUCUCUUAAAGCCAGUCUCAGUUCGGAUUGUAGGCUGCAACUCGCCUACAUGAAGUCGGAAUCGCUAGUAAUCGCGGAUCAGCACGCCGCGGUGAAUACGUUCCCGGGCCUUGUACACACCGCCCGUCACACCACGAGAGUUUGUAACACCCGAAGUCGGUGAGGUAACCAUUUGGAGCCAGCCGCCUAAGGUGGGAUAGAUGAUUGGGGUGAAGUCGUAACAAGGUAACCGUAAA
rnacentral:rRNA from 1 species